rnacentral:rRNA from 1 species
AUUGAACGCUGGCGGCAUGCUUUACACAUGCAAGUCGAACGGUAACAGGUUAAGCUGACGAGUGGCGAACGGGUGAGUAAUGCAUCGGAACGUGCCCGGUCGUGGGGGAUAACGCAGCGAAAGCUGCGCUAAUACCGCAUACGAUCUGAGGAUGAAAGCGGGGGACCGUAAGGCCUCGCGCGAUCGGAGCGGCCGAUGUCAGAUAGGUAGUUGGUGGGGUAAAGGCUCACCAAGCCAACGAUCUGUAGCUGGUCUGAGAGGACGACCAGCCACACUGGGACUGAGACACGGCCGAGACUCCUACGGGAGGCAGCAGUGGGGAAUUUUGGACAAUGGGCGAAAGCCUGAUCCAGCAAUGCCGCGUGCAGGAAGAAGGCCUUCGGGUUGUAAACUGCUUUUGUACGGAGCGAAAAGGUCUCCUCUAAUACAGGGGGCUCAUGACGGUACCGUAAGAAUAAGCACCGGCUAACUACGUGCCAGCAGCCGCCGUAA